ensembl:snRNA LOC120093941 U7 small nuclear RNA
GAGUGAACACAACUCUUCUAGAAUUUUUCUAUCAGGAUUUCUGAUCUUGGUUAGAGAAAUCCAAG